rnacentral:rRNA from 1 species
GCCGCGUGAGGGACGAAGGCCUUCGGGUUGUAAACCUCUUUUAGCAGGGAAGAAGCGAAAGUGACGGUACCUGCAGAAAAAGCACCGGCUAACUACGUGCCAGCAGCCGCGGUAAUACGUAGGGUGCAAGCGUUGUCCGGAAUUAUUGGGCGUAAAGAGCUCGUAGGCGGUUUGUCGCGUCUGCUGUGAAAAUCCGAGGCUCAACCUCGGACCUGCAGUGGGUACGGGCAAACUAGAGUGCGGUGGGGGAGAUUGGAAUUCCUGGUGUAGCGGUGGAAUGCGCAGAUAUCAGGAGGAACACCAAUGGCGAAGGCAGAUCUCUGGGCCGUAACUGACGCUGAGGAGCGAAAGCGUGGGGAGCGAACAGGAUUAGAUACCCUGGUAGUCCACGCCGUAAACGGUGGGAACUAGAUGUGGGGUCCGUUCCACGGAUUCCGUGUCGCAGCUAACGCAUUAAGUUCCCCGCCUGGGGAGUACGGCCGCAAGGCUAAAACUCAAAGGAAUUGACGGGGGCCCGCACAAGCGGCGGAGCAUGCGGAUUAAUUCGAUGCAACGCGAAGAACCUUACCAAGGCUUGACAUAUAGAGGAAAAGCGUAGAAAUACGCUCCCCGCAAGGUCUCUAUACAGGUGGUGCAUGGUUGUCGUCAGCUCGUGUCGUGAGAUGUUGGGUUAAGUCCCGCAACGAGCGCAACCCU